GUCCACAACAUCUGGAGAGCUACCCCUGACUUUGUAUGAACAUGUUUUGUAUAAACAUGCUUUUAAUUACCCAGUUUCCUAACCACACACCUCAUGUUAUUAGGAUGAAGCAAAACUGAUGUGUUUAAGGACAAGUUGUCUGAAGCAUAGCCAUGUGCAAGGCAGGUAGGCAGAAUGUUGGUAACUGACAUAUAGGUAGUCUGGGGGAGGCAAAGAAAGGUAGGCACUGGACAGGGAGCCAGGUAUAAUAAUAACAAUAAUUUAUUAUUUAUACCCCGCCCUUGGUCAAAACUAAGAAAACCAAUUUCGAUAGGGACAAAUGUAAGAUUUUGCACUUAGAUAGAAAUAGCCAGCUGCAACAUUAUAAGAUGGGGGGCACAUGUCUUGCCAGUAGUACAUUUGAAAAGGAUAUAGGGAACUUAGUAGACCACAAGCUUAACAUGAGUCAACAGUAUGAUACAGCAGC